rnacentral:lncRNA from 1 species
AAAAGGAAACCAUUAUAGGUCAAUGCACGGCCUUCAACACGGAGCCUUGGCUAACACCGAACAACAAACUAUAAAGGGCCCCAAAAUUACUAGUGUAAAACCAUUCAAACGGGAAAACCAACGGUCUAAUCUAUAUAAAAAAACGAGAAACGAGAAACACGUAUAAAUUACAUAAACAAACGACAACUACUGUACAUCAGAUUCCUGACUUAGGACAGGUACA